rnacentral:rRNA from 1 species
GACGAACGCUGGCGGCGUGCUUAACACAUGCAAGUCGAACGGAAAGGCCCUGCUUUUGUGGGGUGCUCGAGUGGCGAACGGGUGAGUAACACGUGAGUAACCUGCCCUUGACUUUGGGAUAACUUCAGGAAACUGGGGCUCAUACCUGAUAGGAGCUCCUGCUGCAUGGUGGGGGUUGGAAAGUUUCGCCGGUUGGGGAUGGACUCGCGGCGUAUCAGCUUGUUGGUGGGGUAGUGGCUUACCAAGGCUUUGACGGGUAGCAGGCCUGAGAGGGUGACCGGCCAAGUUAGGACGGAGAUGAGACACAGACUACUACGGGAGGCAGCAGUGGGGAAGAUUGCACAAUGGGCGGAAGCAUGAUGCAGCAACGCAGCGUGGGGGAUGACGGCCUUCGGGUAGUAAAGCGCUUUCGCCUGUGACGAAGCGUGAGUGACGGUAAUGGGUGAAGAAGCACCGGCUAACUACGUG